UCUUGUUUUCUGUGUCAUUUUGUUAGUUCCUUGGUGGUUGGGGGCAAGUUCCCCUGACACUGGAGCAGAAGAAAAAAAAAAAAACACUAAGGUGGGUUUUCUUUGAAUACAUGAAAAGACCAGCAUCAUCGUCAAAAGAUGGCCUCCAAUUAUCUUCAAAAAUGGAGAAAGGUCAAUACCAUAGUCAACAAAUUAGCUGAGAAUGAGAGUGAAGAUGAGUUCAUGGAUGUACUGCUGGAAAACAGACAAUUCUGAGUCAGAGGUUGUUUUGACAUUUUGUGCAUCUUAACUUUGGGCAUGACUUUUGUAGACAAUGACAAUCACCAUGAGUGUUCCACUAUCAUGCCAGAAGAAAUCAGGAAGAGACAUGUAAAGAAGAGGACAUACUGUAUGAUUUUGUUGAUGAAUCCACCAUGGACGUGUGUACUUGGACUAGACGGCUGCCAAAUUCAUCCACAGAGGAUGCUGAAAGUGGUAUUUUACACUAAAGGUGUUUCCGCACCUGGAAAAGUCCUGGAAAUGGUUGUCAAGGUCAAGGGAGCGUUCCAACUCCCCUGAUCACCAAUCAAGUCAUGGAAGUGAUGGAGGAUCUUCCACUUCUUCUCAAUCAUCAUUGGGCUCAUCUUCCAG